GGCUAUACCACCCUGAAUGCACCUGAUCUCGUCUGAUCUUGGAAGCUAAGCAAGGUCAGGCCUGGUACUCGGAUGGGAGAAAAACAGAAGAAAACACCU
rnacentral:rRNA from 1 species